GAUGAACGCUAGCGGCAGGCCUAAUACAUGCAAGCCGAACGGCAAGUUUGAUAGCAAUAUUGGACCUAGAGUGGCGCAAGGGUGCGUAACACGUAUGCAACCUGCCCGCGACAGGAGGAUAGCUCCCCGAAAGGGGAAUUAACCCUCCAUAACACCAUGAGAAGGCAUCUGAUUAUGGUUAAACCGCAAGGGGUCGCGGAUGGGCAUGCGGUUGAUUAGCUAGUUGGCGGGGUAAAGGCCCACCAAGGCGGUGAUCAAUAGGGGUUCUGAGAGGAAGGUCCCCCACACUGGCACUGGGAUACGGGACAGACUACUACGGGAGGCAGGAGUAGGGAAUAUUGGACAAUGGUUGUAAGACUGAUCCAGCCAGGCCGCGUGCAGGAAGAAGGCCUUCUGGGUCGUAAACGGCGUUUUCCUGUGGAUAAAAUACCCGUGCGCGGGGAAUUGAAGGUAACAGGGGAAUAAGCCACGGCUAACUACGUG
rnacentral:rRNA from 1 species